UACGUAGGGGGCUAGCGUUGUCCGGAAUCAUUGGGCGUAAAGCGCGUGUAGGCGGUCCGGUAAGUCCGCUGUGAAAGUCGGGGGCUCAACCCUCGAAUGCCGGUGGAUACUGUCGGGCUAGAGUGCGGAAGGAGGCGAGUGGAAUUCCGUGGUGAUAGCGGUGAAAUGCGCAGAUAUACAACUUGGAACGCCAACGGUGAAAACAGCUCGCUGGGGGUAUCCUGAACGCUGAGACGACGAAAGCCAGGGGAGCAAAGCGGG
rnacentral:rRNA from 1 species